rnacentral:rRNA from 1 species
GACGAACGCUGGCGGCGUGCUUAACACAUGCAAGUCGAACGGAAAGGCCCUGCUUUUGUGGGGUGCUCGAGUGGCGAACGGGUGAGUAACACGUGAGUAACCUGCCCUUGACUUUGGGAUAACUUCAGGAAACUGGGGCUAAUACCGGAUAGGAGCUCCUGCUGCAUGGUGGGGGUUGGAAAGUUUCGGCGGUUGGGGAUGGACUCGCGGCUUAUCAGCUUGUUGGUGGGGUAGUGGCUUACCAAGGCUUUGACGGGUAGCCGGCCUGAGAGGGUGACCGGCCACAGGGGGACUGAGAGACGGCCCAGACUCCUACGGGAGGCAGCAGUGGGGAAUAGUGCACAAUGGGCGGAAGCCGGAUGCAGCAACGCCGCGUGCGGGAUGACGGCCUUCGGGUUGGAAACCGCUUGCGCCUGUGACGAAGCGUGAGUGACGGUAAUGGGUAAAGAAGCACCGGCUAACUACGUG